rnacentral:misc_RNA from 1 species
AGCUUCGCUUACUUUUUUUUCGGCCGAAAGAAGAACAACAAAAACAUGAAACUCUUCUUUGCAGCAGUUUUAAUUGCCGUUUUUGCCGUCACACUAGUGUCGGCUGGCAUGACCGAGUCUGACUUUAAGAAGAUGAAGGUUAAAGAUCUUCGUGCUUUCUUGCAGGAUCGCGGGCUGGAGUGUGCAGGGUGCCAGGAGAAGAGCGAUUUUGUCCGCAUGGCGUACCAGCACCGCGACACAAACCCAGUCGGAAGUGCGGUAAAACGCGAAAUCCCCAACAAAAAGUUUUGGGAGGCAUGGGGUGACAUCGCCAAAAACGAGUGUCAGAAUGCUGUGAGGCGGCGAGGAAACGAUGAGGGCACCGAGCCAUUUUCCACUAUUUGCGACACUAUUCACUCCGCAGUUGAUUCUUACCUGAUGCAGCACGGAAGACGUGUUGCCAAUCAACUCAAGAAGACGCCGCAGGACCUGCUUAAGACCUCGUUUAAAGAUGUUUACUUUGAGGCUGGCUCUCACCUCUUUCAGACGCUAGCGGAUUACUGUCUCGGGUCUCCUUCGUUGCAGAAAACGUGUCAGUCCUUAGGGUCUGUCAUGAGCGCAAUGGAUGGUUCUUCUGGUGCAGAUUUUCGAAUUUGGACUACCAAUGUCGGGAUUGAAAAUACGAAUCCCAUGUACGAAAUCAUCGACGGGCGUGACGAUUUGUGAAGAAGGGGCUUUCAGGCGCUUUCCGGAAGGUUUAGCUCUUUCUCAAUUAGGUCUUUUUUCCCUUUUCCCUCAGCGCGAUAUGCAGCACUGUUUUAUCUAGUUUUCCCUGAUGUCUAGCGCGAGAUGGGCUCUCGUGACUAGUCUUUUUUUCCACGACUCUAUAACCGAGAAAACAC